GUAACUUUGUGAACCGUAUGUUUAAGUGAAGUGCAGGUAGGUAAUCUGCGUUUGUUGUUUUGCACUAGCUUGAAAAGGGCUAAGUAUAAACUGUAAGCCGUGGACAUUUAAGCUAAUGUCCUCGUGAGAGACAUCGCCGUUACGCCGGCUUUCGUUACAGCUGUAACCGCCAGGCGCAGUUUUCACCGUGGAACUGAAGGGACAAGGACUGUGGAGAACUGUGCUAAGUAGCACGGUAACUACGCCUGUGUAAGAAGGGACUCUACCGCCGAACCUGCAUCGCUGAAUCGACUAUUACCUGCUGGACUCUGCAGCGGAUUUAUUCACACAGCUCGUUUCCAAGUCAGAUAAUUCUUCUCUUCGAUCGGCGUGUUGGGGAAGAAAAGGUAGUAUCUGGUAUGUAUCAAUGUACUGUUUUAAGUAUUUUAGAGUAUUUUUUAAAGUUUAUGUUUUAAGUAUUUAAGUAUUGUAAAUAGUAUUUAGUUCGUAUCAAUGUCCUUUUUUUUUUUUUUUUUUUUUUUUAAAGUAAG
ensembl:lncRNA